UACAGAGGGUGCGAGCGUUAAUCGGAUUUACUGGGCGUAAAGCGUGCGUAGGCGGUUCGUUAAGUCUGCUGUGAAAGCCCCGGGCUCAACCUGGGAAUGGCAGUGGAUACUGGCGAGCUAGAGUGUGAUAGAGGAUGGUGGAAUUCCCGGUGUAGCGGUGAAAUGCGUAGAGAUCGGGAGGAACAUCAGUGGCGAAGGCGGCCAUCUGGAUCAACACUGACGCUGAGGCACGAAAGCGUGGGGAGCAAACAGG
rnacentral:rRNA from 1 species